rnacentral:rRNA from 1 species
GGGUUGUGAGGUUAAGCGACUAAGCGUACACGGUGGAUGCCCUGGCAGUCAGAGGCGAUGAAGGGCGUGCUAAUCUGCGAUAAGCGCCGGUAAGGUGAUAUGAACCGUUAUAACCGGCGAUACCCGAAUGGGGAAACCCAGUGUGAUUCGUCACACUAUCAUUAACUGAAUCCAUAGGUUAAUGAGGCGAACCGGGGGAACUGAAACAUCUAAGUACCCCGAGGAAAAGAAAUCAACCGAGAUUCCCCCAGUAGCGGCGAGCGAACGGGGAGGAGCCCAGAGCCUGAAUCAGCAUGUGUGUUAGUGGAAGCGUCUGGAAAGGCGCGCGAUACAGGGUGACAGCCCCGUACACAAAAGCGCAUGUGCUGUGAGCUCGAUGAGUAGGGCGGGACACGUGGUAUCCUGUCUGAAUAUGGGGGGACCAUCCUCCAAGGCUAAAUACUCCUGACUGACCGAUAGUGAACCAGUACCGUGAGGGAAAGGCGAAAAGAACCCCGGCGAGGGGAGUGAAAAAGAACCUGAAACCGUGUACGUACAAGCAGUGGGAGCACAGGUUUACCUGUGUGACUGCGUACCUUUUGUAUAAUGGGUCAGCGACUUAUAUUCUGUAGCAAGGUUAACCGUAUAGGGGAGCCGAAGGGAAACCGAGUCUUAACCGGGCGUUAAGUUGCAGGGUAUAGACCCGAAACCCGGUGAUCUAGCCAUGGGCAGGUUGAAGGUUGGGUAACACUAACUGGAGGACCGAACCGACUAAUGUUGAAAAAUUAGCGGAUGACCUGUGGCUGGGGGUGAAAGGCCAAUCAAACCGGGAGAUAGCUGGUUCUCCCCGAAAGCUAUUUAGGUAGCGCCUCGUGAAUUCAUCUCCGGGGGUAGAGCACUGUUUCGGCUAGGGGGCCAUCCCGGCUUACCAACCCGAUGCAAACUGCGAAUACCGGAGAAUGUUAUCACGGGAGACACACGGCGGGUGCUAACGUCCGUCGUGAAGAGGGAAACAACCCAGACCGCCAGCUAAGGUCCCAAAGUCAUGGUUAAGUGGGAAACGAUGUGGGAAGGCCCAGACAGCCAGGAUGUUGGCUUAGAAGCAGCCAUCAUUUAAAGAAAGCGUAAUAGCUCACUGGUCGAGUCGGCCUGCGCG